AUACAGAGGGUGCAAGCGUUAAUCGGAUUUACUGGGCGUAAAGCGCGCGUAGGUGGCUAAUUAAGUCAAAUGUGAAAUCCCCGAGCUUAACUUGGGAAUUGCAUUCGAUACUGGUUAGCUAGAGUAUGGGAGAGGAUGGUAGAAUUCCAGGUGUAGCGGUGAAAUGCGUAGAGAUCUGGAGGAAUACCGAUGGCGAAGGCAGCCAUCUGGCCUAAUACUGACACUGAGGUGCGAAAGCAUGGGGAGCGAACAGGAUUAGAUACCCUGGUAGUCCAUGCCGUAAACGAUGUCUACUAGCCGUUGGGGCCCUUGAGGCUUUAGUGGCGCAGCUAACGCGAUAAGUAGACCGCCUGGGGAGUACGGUCGCAAGACUAAAACUCAAAUGAAUUGACGGGG
rnacentral:rRNA from 1 species